rnacentral:lncRNA from 1 species
CUUCCCGCCUUACGUCCUGUCCUACACAUCCACCUUUGCCUGGAGUGUCUCCCUUCGAGGGUCAGCCCAACUCAUCACGGAGGCUCAAUCAAAACCUAGGAUGACCUUGAUGUCAGAGGCAGAGUUUCUCUGCUCCUGCUCUUUGCAGUUUCUCUUGCUGCUCACACUCACGUGACUUACAUGCAGCCUCUCUUAUUUCUGGAUACACCCUGCUCCUUCUUCACAGACGGCGGUCUUUCUUUUUCCCAGGGUACAUCACACGCAAGCUUGAAACUCGUAUAUUCAAAAGGUUUCCGAACACAGUUCUUAUUUCUUCCAUGUACCAGAUACGGUCUGCUUUGACCCACUGCUAGACCAAGUGCCCCCACUGUGCUGCAGCGUGUCUUCUCCAGGAUUCACUCCUGAUGUUGCCGAGGUGAGGUUCUCGUAAAUUCCCAGGGAAGCCUCAGUCAGACUACAACCUGCAGAUGCGUCUCUUUGCCGUCUCCUGGGAGCCUUCAUCUAACUCUGCCAAUAUACCAUGAUAGCUAGGUGAGUGCCUACAACUCAGGCUUUCCAAAGUAAGUAAUAACUGUUCAGGGACUUCCCUGGGGGUCCAGUGGCUAAGACAACAGACUCCCAGUACAGGGGGCCUCAGUUCGAUCCCUGGUCAGAGAACUAGAUCCCACAUGCUGCAACUAAGAGUUCAUAUGCCACAACUAAAGAUCCCAAAUGCUGCAGCAAAGAUCCAAUGUGCCACACCUAGGACCCAGCACAGCCAGAUAAAUAUAUAUUUUAAGUUGAAUUCUAUCAAACUUUCAAGCAGAGUGUAAGGGAACUUGUGCUUCCCAGCCAAGAUAGAGCCUGAGGAACCAGAUUUACACACCUGCCUGAAACAAACAGACAAAAGGCAAGAAAAAUGCAAGGGUACUUAAGACAUCAGGCAUCAGCUAACAAAGGACCAUGAUUCCUGAGUGCAGGAAACAAAUGUGAUAAGCACUGCUGUUACCCCCGCUUACUGCCUGGAUUGCAACCCUGUCUCCAAGCCUCGGUGCUGGGAGAGGAAACCCAGGCAGAACCCUGCCAUCUCCCUGAGCUGAGGAGACGGGCUGGCAGUCCAGGAAGCCCAGGGAGGGCACGGUGGCUGGAGUUACCAGGGCAG